CACUAUUAUUGGGUCUAAAGGGUCCGUAGCCGGUUUAAUCAGUCUUCUGGGAAAUCUAAUCGCUUAACUAUUAGGCUUCCAGGGGAUACUGUUAGACUUGGGACCGGGAGAGGUAAGAGGUACUGCAGGGGUAGGAGUGAAAUCUUGUAAUCCCUGUGAGACCACCAGUGGCGAAGGCGUCUUACCAGAACGGGUCCGACGGUGAGGGACGAAAGCUGGGGGCACGAACCGGAUUAGAUACCCGGGUAGUCCCAGCUGUAAACGAUGCUCGUUAGGUGUCAGGAACGGUGCGACUGUUUCUGGUGCCGAAGGGAAGCCGUGAAACGAGCCACCUGGGAAGUACGGCCGCAAGGCUGAAACUUAAAGGAAUUGGCGGGGGAGCACUACAACGGGUGGAGCCUGCGGUUUAAUUGGACUCAACGCCGGAAAACUCACCGGGGGCGACAGCAAUAUGUAGGUCAGGUUAAAGGUCUUACCUGAAUCGCUGAGAGGAGGUGCAUGGCCGUCGUCAGUUCGUACUGUGAAGCAUCCUGUUAAGUCAGGCAACGAGCAAGACCCGUGCCCACUGUUACCAGCAUAUCCUUUAUGGAUGAUGGGGACUCUGUGGGGACCGCUGCUGCUAAAGCAGAGGAAGGUGCGGGCUACGGUAGGUCAGUAUGCCCCGAAUCUCCCGGGCUACACGCGGGCUACAAUGGUUGGGACAAUGGGUAUCUACUCCGAAAGGAGUUGGCAAUCUCUUAAACCCAAUCGUAGUUCGAAUUGAGGGCUGUAACUCGCCCUCAUGAAGCUGGAAUCCGUAGUAAUCGCGUUUCAACAUAGCGCGGU
rnacentral:rRNA from 1 species